ACCCUACCCAAACAGAACAAUACCUUCUCCAUUUUCUCGCUGAAUCCCCUCUACCAUGGCUUCACGCAGAAUCUUAUCGUCACUUCUCCGAUCGGCUUCACGCCGAUCUGCAUCAUCUUCCAACCCUAAGCUAUUCUCUCCAUCCCCGGUCUCCGCUCGCCGCGCAUCUCCCUAUGGCCACCUCCUCAACCGUACAUCUGAGUACGCUACCUCCGCCG
rnacentral:lncRNA from 1 species